GAAAUGCGAUAAGUAAUGUGAAUUGCAGAAUUCAGUGAAUCAUCGAAUCUUUGAACGCAUCUUGCGCUCCUUGGUAUUCCUUGGAGCAUGCCUGUUUGAGUAUCAUGAAAUCUUCAAGGUAAAUCUUUUGUUAACUCAAUUGGUUUCUACUUUGGUAUUGGAGGUCUUUGCAGCUUCACACCUGCUCCUCUUUGUUCAUUAGCUGGAUCUCAGUGUUAUGCUUGGUUCCACUCGGCGUGAUAAGUUAUCUAUCGCUGAGGACACUGUAAAAGGUGGCCAAGGUAAAUGCAGAUGAACCGCUUCUAAUAGUCCAUUGACUUGGACAAUACUUUUAUGAUCUGAUCUCAAAUCAGGUAGGACUACCCGCUGAACUUAAGC
rnacentral:misc_RNA from 1 species